AUCGCUUCUCGGCCUUUUGGCUAAGAUCAAGUGUAGUAUCUGUUCUUAUCAGUUUAAUAUCUGAUACGUCCUCUAUCCGAGGACAAUAUAUUAAAUGGAUUUUUGGAAGUAGGAGUUGGAAUAGGAGCUUGCUCCGUCCACUCCACGCAUCUACCUGGUAUUGCAGUACCUCCAGGAACGGUGCACCCCCU
rnacentral:snRNA from 1 species